rnacentral:tRNA from 1 species
GCGUCUGUAGCUCAGCUGGUUAGAGUAUCGCCUUGACAUGGCGGGGGGCGGGGGGUCGAAGGCAAGCAUGCACCCCCUAGCUUUG